GACGAACGCUGGCGGCGUGCCUAAUACAUGCCAGUAGAACGCACAGUUUAUACCGUAGCUUGCUACACCAUAAACUGUGAGUUGCGAACGGGUGAGUAACGCGUAGGUAACCUGCCUGGUAGCGGGGGAUAACUAUUGGAAACGAUAGCUAAUACCGCAUAAUAUUAAUUAUUGCAUGAUAAUUGAUUGAAAGAUGCAAUUGCAUCACUACCAGAUGGACCUGCGUUGUAUUAGCUAGUAGGUGAGGUAACGGCUCACCUAGGCGACGAUACAUAGCCGACCUGAGAGGGUGAUCGGCCACACUGGGACUGAGACACGGCCCAGACUCCUACGGGAGGCAGCAGUAGGGAAUCUUCGGCAAUGGACGAAAGUCUGACCGAGCAACGCCGCGUGAGUGAAGAAGGGUUUCGGAUCGUAAAGCUCGGUUGUAAGAGAAGAACGGGUGUGAGAGUGGAAAGUUCACACUGUGACGGUAUCUUACCAGAAAGGGACGGCUAACUACGUG
rnacentral:rRNA from 1 species